ensembl:lncRNA
GGAGAGACAGCUUUUUUUUCCCAUUCUCCUCUCUUUGUCUCUUUUCUGAGAAAAUACUGCUUUGAGCGAAUCUUUUUGAAAGCACAGAGAUAAAUUUAUUUAAAGCUGGCAUUUUCACUGCUGCUACUGAGUCUGCUGCUGACUCUGCAAGUGACCUUGAGCAUGCAGAGAAUAGGACAUUUGGUGGUCAGGAAAUCAGGUAAGGACCAAGUUGAUGGUUAAAACAUGAGAUUCAAAAGCUGAGAAUCAAGGGGAAAGCUCCCAUCCGAGAUGGUGUGAAAGGAUUAAAUGAAUUCAAACAAUUCCAGUGAUGCCAUGAUGGGACAGAGUAAUGAGAGAAGGAACCUGGCCAUAAGGAAGUUGUGGAAAUGAUUGACACUGUGCUCAGGCUGGGAAGCCAUCAAAAGGUGGAAUUUUGGACUUCUGGGAAGAUGGCAGAGAAGUUAGCAGCAAUAAAUCAACCUUUCCAAGAUUCCAAAUCCAGUCACUGGAAAAUAACAACCUGGGCAAGAAAAGAAGGAGGGAGGUGGACCCCUGGGACCCAGGAAGGAUCUGAAGGGAAAAUUGGAUCUCACAGAGAAAGUGAAGAGACUGACUUCAAUGCAGAAAAAGGAGGGGGAAAACUGCACUUUCUCCCCAGCCCCUGGCUCAAAGCAUGAGAGAGGAGAAUCAAAUCUACAGAUACCAGUGGAGGCAGGGGACUCCAAAGGCCUCCAGGGAGAAAUGCAACAGUGGAUGUUGUGUGCUACAAUUGCUGGUGACUGACUCCAGGCCAACUGACUUCUAGGUCUCCUGCUAUGCUUGGGCAGAUGCCAUUAUAGGGAGGGGCCAACUGAGCCUUGGAUUCAGAGCACCCAUGCGUUGGCUUCAUCUCAGGGUUCCCAGUAUUGAAAUCCCACAAUGACUGGGUGAGGGACAGCCACAGGAGAUGUCCAGGGUCAGGGAGCUGUGGUCAGGCCAGCAAGAGACACCCAGACUGUUGCAGGCUGAACAACUGAGGCGCCAGCACAAACCAGAGGCCAAGAUUAGCCUGAACUGUGAAUUUGAAAGGACCAGAACCAGCAUCCCGCCCUAACCCUACUGCAGGGUUGCUGGGAUUAUCUAGCACAGAUCUUGAUUCUGGCUGCCUCCUUUUUCUACCAGUGACAGCAGAGACAUGCCCUGAAUGGACACUAGCACAGAACUGUAGACCCCAGAAGAAAAGCACAGGCUUAAAAUCACAGAUAAUAAUUUUUCUUUUUUUUUAUUUGUUUGGUUGGUUGGGUUUUUUUAUUGUUUGUUUUUGUUUUUCAUGAGUAUGAACAUUGUUUUUAGUUUUUUGUUUUGUUUUGUUCUGUGUUCUCCUUCUUUCUUUCCCUUCUGUCUUCUUCACCAGUUUCCCAAGGCUUGAGUAAUCUUCUUUUGCCCUUCAGCCUUGCUGUUUUCUCUUCUUUUAGUUCUCUAUUUUUUCCUGUUAUCCCUUUAAAAUUUUCUCUCCUGAGGGUAAAAAUCACUCUAUUGAGGAGAUAUUUACUAUAUAUAAUUUUCUGAUUUGUCUUAGAUUUUGUUAUAUACCUAUAAAUCUUGUACCUAUAGUUAAAGGUGGCAAAUUAUUAGUUAUCAGUUUGUCAUUGUCUAGUCUGUGCUUGAUGCUACUGUUAUUACUGAUUGUACUAUUUUAGCCAAGGUGACAUAGUUGUUGUGAUCAAUUGAUCUUCCUUGUAUGCUAAUACUUAGAUUGUCUGGAGGUUGUAAACAUUGCUAUAGUCAAGUUCCAAAGAACUGGGUGCUAAGUCAAACAGCCAGCAAUCUUUCAUCCCUAAUAAAUUGAAGAGGCAGGAUCUUGGGACAGACUCAAAAGCCAAAAGCCAGCUAUGCCUAGAAGAUAUCUCUGUAAAGUAGUCACUUCCUAAAGAGGUCGCAAUACGAGUAAUAAAAUUAACUACCAUAAGUAACUUACAAGCCUCAACACCGAAAACAAAUAAACAACAACAACAACAAAAAUAGAAAAUGAGGAAACACAGAACCAAGAUGCAAUCCAUAAUCCCCAACUCACCCAAGGCAAUCAAGGGGCCAUUGAAGUAAAGGAAAUAAAAAACCUACCAGCUGAAUUUUAUGAAAUGGUGGCAACAGAAGUAACAAAAUGGAUCAAUAAGUCUCUUGUUAAAAACAAAAGACAUAAUUAAACAGAUGGUGACCAUAAUGAAGGACAUGGCUAGGGAAUAUGGAAUAAAUAGAAAAAAUAGAGGAGCUUAGGAAACUGAUAAAAACCAUGAAUGCCCAACACAGGAAACAACUGGACUUCAU